rnacentral:rRNA from 1 species
AGAUUGAACGCUGGCGGCAGGCCUAACACAUGCAAGUCGAGCGGCAGCACGGGUACUUGUACCUGGUGGCGAGCGGCGGACGGGUGAGUAAUGCCUAGGAAUCUGCCUGGUAGUGGGGGAUAACGCUCGGAAACGGACGCUAAUACCGCAUACGUCCUACGGGAGAAAGCAGGGGACCUUCGGGCCUUGCGCUAUCAGAUGAGCCUAGGUCGAUUAGCUAGUUGGUGAGGUAAUGGCUCACCAAGGCGACGAUCCGUAACUGGUCUGAGAGGAUGAUCAGUCACACGUGGAACUGACGUACGACGGUACCAGACCUCCGUACGGGAGCAGCAGGUGGGAAUA